rnacentral:tRNA from 1 species
UCCCUAGUAGCUCAGUUGAUAAAGAAUCCGCCUGCAAUGCGGGAGACCUGGGUUCGAUCCCUGGGUGGGGAA